rnacentral:rRNA from 1 species
AAUGAACGUUGGCGGCGUGGAUUAGGCAUGCAAGUCGAGCGAGAAGUUCCUUCGGGAACGGACAGCGGCGAAAGGGAGAGGAAUACGUAGAAAUCUACCCCUGAGACCGGGAUAGCGUCGGGAAACUGGCAGUAAUACCGGAUAACGUCUUAGGACCAAAGGUGUGAUUCCACUUGGGGAUGAGUCUACGCCCUAUUAGCUAGUUGGUGGGGUAAUGGCCUACCAAGGCAAUGAUGGGUAGCGGGUGUGAGAGCAUGACCCGCCUCACUGGGACUGAGAACUGCCCAGACACCUACGGGUGGCUGCAGUCGAGAAUCUUUGUCAAUGGACGAAAGUCUGAACAAGCGACGCCGCGUGCGGGAUGAAGGCCUCGGGUUGUAACCGACUGUCGUAGGGAACGAAAUGUACGGGGUUCGUCCCCUCGUAUUUGUAGUGAGUCCUAGGAGGAAGGAGAGGCUAAGACUCGUGCCAGCAGCCGCGGUAA